rnacentral:lncRNA from 12 species
AUGUCUGACUGUGGGCGAAGCCCAUUCAUAAAUGUCGCUCUUGGCACACCGUGGCCCGUGCAUGCGUGCUGCUGGAUGGCAGCUUUUCUAGCAGUGGUGUUUUUGGUAAAAACUUGUUGUGAGAGGUCUGUGCCUCCUGCCUUUUGUCCUUCAGGUUGCACACUAAGCUCUCAUUCAUUGUCACAGACCAGGUGUUUUGGUGUCACUGACCCCCGAGCCCAGACAUGUGGGCCAGACCCCAGGGAGCCAGUCAAGCACGAUGGAUGGAAGCACAUUCUGUGGCUCUCAGAGCAUGUGGUUCUCUUCUGCAGUGGAGACGCUGGUCAUGUCACUCGCCUUGCUGGAGUCUCCCUCAGCAACCCGCCCAAGCCAAUCAAGCCAUGAAGUGACCGUGUGAUUACCUGACCUCAGUGGCCUACCGAUUCUCCAUUCCUCGGGGGCUCAAGACACGCUAGACUGGUUUGCAGGAGUCGUGGCUCGCGCCAGUGUGUACAGACAUGACAUCCGAGGUCAGCUGGGAGGGGCUCAUGUGCCCACUUUGCCGACUGUCAGAGACGAUUCUUCCUCUGGAUGCCACCUCGUCUUGGGGCAUUUCUCUGCUCAGGAGCACUGGUCCUGGGGCCAUGGCAGCAGAUGAGCAGGAGGUGGAACUUCACUCUGGCGAGCAGGUCUCCUCGCACAGCUUCCGUCUCUGAAAAAAUGCACAGGAUGUCAUGAGGGAUGGACAGAAGCACAGCAGACACACAUGACUCUCCUGCCGGGGCGCUGUCUGCUCUAGCUCAUCCCCUCAUCAUCAGCCCAUGAGGCUCCGGACACCUCCUGCAAGGCCCUCAGCCUUCUUUCUCCUUCCCUGUCCUGAUGCCAAGCACUCAUGGCCAAGAUAUUUCCCCAGCAAAGGCUAACAUGUAUUGUGAAUGAUCUUUCUGAAUGUGAUUGUUGGGGAAAUGCAGAUCGAAACCGUAGGGAGGUGUCACCUCACAGCUGUUAGGGUGGCUAUGCUCAAGGGAAAACAACAACAGGUGUUGGUGAUGAAUUAGAGAAAAGGGAACCCAGUGCACUGUGAGUGGGGGUGUAAUUUGGUGUAGACAUUGUAGGGAAUGGGAUGGAGCCUCCCCCAAAACCUAAAAGAGAUGCAGCAGACCCCAUUCUGGGUGUGGACCCAAAGGAGAUGAAACCCAUGCCUUGAGGAGACGUUGGCACUCCCCUGUUUAUUGUAGCAUCACUCACAGGAGCCAAGACAUGGAAGCUGCCCAAGUGUCCAUCAAUGGACAAGUGGACAAGAAACUGUGAUACACACACACGCACAUGCACAUGGAAUGUUAUUCAGUCUUUCGAGAAGGAGAGUCUGCCCAUUUGUGGCAAAGUGCAUGAACCUGUGUGAAACAAGCCAGAUGCAGAGAGAAAAAAAAUGCGUGAUCUCACUGACUAAGGAAUCUAAACACAUUGAAUAGACCAAAACAGAGGAGAGUGGUGGUUCCCGGGGUCCCAGGGAGGUUGGGGGAAGUGGGGAGCUGGUCACAGGGCACAAAGGGGCAGUUCUGUAAGAGGUCAGAUGUUCAGCAUGAGGACUGCACUCAGCAUUGCUGUUCUGAGCACUGAGAUUUGCUAAAGGACUUGGUUAGGUGCUCCCACCACACAUGCCUACCAGGCAGCUAUGUGAGGAGAUGAUUUUAUGUUUUAAAAUAUUUUAUUUAUUUAUUCAUGAGAGAUGCAGAGAAAGAGAAGCAGGCUCCCUGCAGGGAGCCUGAUAUGGGAUUCGAUCCCAGGAUCCUGGGAUCACACCUUGAGCCCAAGACAGACGCUCACCACUGAGCCACCUAGGUGUCCCAAGGAGAUGAUAUUUUUAAUUAGCUUGGUGGGAAUAAUCAUUUCUCUCUGCAUGUGUACAUCAAAUCACUGCACAGCACCUUCACUGUGUGCCAUUCUUACUUAAAAAUGGAAUUAAAUCUGAAAUAAACCACAUGGAAUCUUUGCUUUUGUUAGAUGC